UCUUGUUGGUAUGUUCUUUGCACACCAAGGAUGUAACGGAUAACGGGGAAUUAGGGUUUGAUUCCGGAGAGGACGCCUGAGACACGGCGUCUACUUCCAAGGAAGGCAGCAGGCGCGUAAAUUACUCAAUGUCAACUUGACGAAGUAGUGACAAAAAAUAGAAAUAGAGGUCUUUUUAGAGCUCUGAUUUCAAUGAAAACAAUCUAAACAACUUAUUUAGGAACAAGUAGAGGGCAAGUCUGGUGCCAGCAGCCGCGGUAAUUCCAGCUCUACUAGCGUAUCUUAAAGUUGUUGCGGUUAAAAAGCUCGUAGUUGAAAUUAGGUUUUCUAGUUCAACUUUACAAUUAUUAUUUCUAUCAUUCUUCUUUAGAUGGUAGGAUUAAUAAGUAGGGAAAAAAUUAGAAAUUCCUAUCGAAGCCAAAUUUUAAAGAGUUAAAUCUUUGAAUUUUGGUUUAAUACUUUGAACAAAAUAGCGUGUUCAAAACAGGCAUUUAUUUAAAGCCUUGAAUAUAUUAGCAUGGGAUAUUCGAAAAUGACUUUCAAUAAAGUUCUUAUUGGUCUUUAUUUAAAGUAAUGAUUAAUAGGGAUUGAUGGAGUCACUCUUAUUUAAUGGAUAGAGGUGAAAUUCUAUGACCCAUUAAAGAAGAACUGAAGCGAAAGCAUUUGACAAAAAUGUUUUCUUUAAUCAAGAACGAAAGUUGUAGGAUCGAAGAUGAUUAGAUACCGUCGUAGUUACAACAGUAAACUAUGUCGACUUAGGAUAGGACAAAGUUACAUGGAUGACUUAUCCUGCACUAAUCGAGAAAUCAAAGUUACUAGACUCCGGGGGGAGUAUGGUCGCAAGGCUGAAACUUAAAAGAAUUGACGGAAGGGCACCACCAGGCGUGGAACCUGUGGCUUAAUUUGACCCAACGCGAGAAAACUUACCAGUUCAGGACAUAAAAAGGAUUGACAGAUUGAUUGUUCUUUCAUGAUAUUAUGAAAGGUGGUGCAUGGCCGUUUUUAGUUCGUGGAGUGAUUUGUCUGGUUAAUUCCGUUAACGAACAAGACCUUAUCUUGUUAACUAGACAUUUCUAUAGAUUGACUUUGAAAAGGUUUCUUCUUAGAAUUUUCGGAUUUAAAACCCGGAAUUUUCAAUGAAAUUCCUUGAAUUAAUUUUCAAUUUUCUUUAAAAAGGAAUUGGAAUUUAGUUCUAGUUUAGACAAAUAGAGUGGCUUCUUAGAAGAACUAUUCACUUUUAGUGAAUGGAAGAAAGACAAUAACAGGUCUGUGAUGCCCUUAGAUGUACUGGGCCGCACGCGCGUUACAAUGGAUGACUCAAUGAGCUUAACCUGGCCUUAAAAGGUCUAGGAAAUCUCUAAAAAUUAUUCGUGAUUGGAAUAGUGUUUUGCAAUUAUUGCACUUGAACGAGGAAUGCCUUGUAAGAGUUUGUCAUUAACAAACUCUGAAUAAGUCCCUGCCCUUUGUACACACCGCCCGUCGCUCCUACCGAUUGAGGUUUGAGGUGAGGAC
rnacentral:rRNA from 1 species